rnacentral:rRNA from 1 species
UACGGGAGGCAGCAGUGAGGAAUAUUGGUCAAUGGACGAAAGUCUGAACCAGCCAUGCCGCGUGCAGGAUGACGGCCCUAUGGGUUGUAAACUGCUUUUAUACAGGAAUAAACCAUCGAACGUGUUCGGUGCUGAAGGUACUGUAAGAAUAAGGAUCGGCUAACUCCGUGCCAGCAGCCGCGGUAAUAC